UCUGAUCUGAGGUCAAGUGCACUUUAUUUAGGGCAUAUUGUCAUUUAGGAGUGAGUUAAAAUUGGUUCCUUCACAAAUGUUAGACUUUAAAACACUCCUCUCUUUUCCCCUUGGUAAUGAGAAGCUGCUUUUUUUUCUGUUUCUUAAUAUACAUUUGUCUGCACGCUACUGCAGACAGACACAUCCAGCAUCACAGAUCAAGGCUUUACUUCAUGUGAGAAACAGAACGACCAUUAUCAACAACAGAGGAACCAUCCGAUAAAAUGAAAUCACAAAACUUUUUGACCUUUACCUGCUUUGUGUUGAUUCUUCCAUCUUUGAUUAUAGGUCAGGAAACACAACAUAGUGUGCUAAACGGCCACCGGGUUUUUAAGGUUUAUCGGGGAAUGUCUGUCAAUAUCAGCUGUAACUACAACAAUUCUGAUGAAACUGAACGCUUUAAUGCAGCUCUACAUUUAAAUAAAGAUCAUAAAUUGUGCUCAUAUGUUAAUUAAUAAUACAAAUAAAACAAGUAUGCGUCAGUCAUGCAAUAAAGACAUCAGAUUUAUCUGGAUUACAGAAAGUAAAGAAAUAACAUUUGAGCUGUCAAAUCUUCAGAUAAACAAUUCAGGCACCUACAGAUGUAUUGUGGAUAGAGAUAUACCUCCUCCUGCUAUGACUAUAGGAGAAAACAACACAACUGUUCAGGUUUUAGCACGUCCCCAUGUGUCCAUGUCAUGUUUGAAAGAGCCUGAUGGACAUCCCAUAAUUCUGUGCAGCUCUGAGGGGUUUUAUCCUUCUGAUCUACAGCAGGUGUGGCUGAGAGAUGGAGAAUUACUGAACAUCUCUCAUACACAAAACACUAUUAGAAACAAUUCAGAUGGAUCAUUCACCCUCCAUUCAUACUUAAAUUUAUCUUCUGACAUAUCUGAUUCUUUAAACUAUUCCUGUGGGGUAAACCACUCAUCAUUAAACAAACAAGUUGUGCUCCAUCUGUCUCUUGCAAAUUGUAAUGACAGGAAACAGGGCGAUGCUGUUAGAAAAACAGAGCCAUCUUUACAUAUAAGUUAUAAUAUGAAGAUUGCUCUGGUGAUCUCUGCAUUGCUGACUCUUAUCAUCUUGAUCGUGGCAGUAGUGCUGAAGCACUUCAG